GUGCUCACUUCAGCAGCACUUAUACUAAAAUUGGAAUGAUAGAAAAAACCUAUCAUGGCCCCCUGCACAAGGAUGACAUGCAAAUUCACUAAUCCUUCUAUAUAUAU